AAGCUCUCUUAUUUCUUUCCAUCUCUUUUUCGUUUAUACAUAAUUUAAAUAAAUACAAUUUAUGAAGUUAUUAUAAAAAUAAAAGACGUGUUUGUGUUUUGAGUGCUCUAAAAAAUGCAGCAAAAAUAGUAAUGUGGAAAAAUAUGACAAAAUUGAAAAAUAAAUCGAAGAUUACAACCAUUGCGAUGUAGCGCAACAAAACUUGAAAAACUAACGAAUAGAAAAAUUCAGAAAAGAAAUUUCACCAAAAAUUCAACUCCCAAAUGUACUGAAAUACACACACCCUCGCACACACACACAUACACACACACAGUAAGCCAACAACACUGACAGCGAUACGUAAAAAAGUUAACAGAGCAACAGAAUCACGGGCCUGACUCGGGGCUCGUUCCUGAUGCUGGCUCUGGCUGAAUGUCCGGAGCAAAUGAAGGUGUCAAAAUGACAAGCAGACACAGCAAAAAAAAAAGCAGAAAAAAUAAAGAAACGAAGCCCUUGGACAAACACAAACACACACA